CUUCAUAGAGCCCAGUGUGCAAUUAAACAGACUCAGGUAACUGUUCAGAAAAUUGGAAAGGAAAUUGAAGAAAAGCUAAGGCUCACAUCUACAAGCAAUGAACUGAGAAAACAAAGUGAGUGCUUGCAAUUAAAAAUUUUGGUGCUUCGAAAUGAACUGGAAAGACAGAAGAAGGCUUUGGGACGGGAGGUGGCAUUACUGCAUAAGCAACAAAUUGCAUUACAGGAUAAAGGGAGUGCAUUUUCAACUGAGCACCUCAAGCUUCAACUCCAGAAGGAAUCCCUGAAUGAAUUGAGGAAGGAGUGUACUGCGAAAAGAGAACUCUUUCUGAAGACUAAUGCUCAGUUGACAAUUCGUUGCAGGCAAUUACUAUCUGAGCUUUCCUACAUUUACCCUAUUGAUUUGAAUGAGCAUAAGGAUUACUUUGUAUGUGGUGUCAAGUUGCCCAAUUCUGAGGACUUCCAAGCAAAAGAUGAUGGAAGCAUUGCUGUUGCCCUUGGUUACACAGCACAUUUGGUCUCCAUGAUUUCCUUUUUCUUACAAGUGCCCCUGAGAUAUCCUAUAAUUCAUAAGGGAUCUAGAUCAACAAUCAAAGAUAAUAUCAAUGAUAAGCUGACUGAAAAGGAGAGAGAGUUUCCAUUAUAUCCAAAAGGAGGGGAGAAGUUACAAUUCGAUUAUGGUGUCUAUCUUCUGAACAAAAAUAUAGCACAGCUAAGAUAUCAACAUGGACUAGGGACUCCAGACUUGAGGCAAACCCUCCCUAACCUGAAAAACUUCAUGGAACAUGGACUAAUGGUCAGGUGCGACAGACAUCACACCUCCAGUGCAAUCCCUGUUCCAAAGAGACAAAGCUCCGUAUUUGGAGGCGCAGAUGUAGGCUUCUCUGGGGGGAUCCCGUCCCCAGACAAAGGACACCGAAAACGGGCCAGCUCAGAGAAUGAGAGACUCCAGUACAAAACCCCUCCUCCCAGUUACAACUCAGCGCUCGCCCAGCCUGUUCCCGCCAUCCCUUCCAUAGGAGAGUCCGAGAGAAAGACAACAUCUCUGUCCUCCUCCUUGGAUACCUCCUUGGACUUCUCCAAAGAAAACAAGAAAAAAGGAGUUGAUCUGGGUGACAGAUUAAAUGGAGGUCAUGUGAGUGUGAACACUAGCCAGGAACAAGAAGAAGCCCUCUCUGGGCAUGCAGCCACCGUCAACGGCACUCUGCUGCCCAGCGAGCAGGCUGGCUCCCCCGGCGUCCGCGUCCCGGGGGACUUCCGCCCAGUCUCAGAGCCCGAGCUCUGCUGUACUGUGGAGCAAGCGGAAGAGAUCAUCGGCAUGGAAGCCACAGGUUUCACCUCAGGCGAUCAGCUGGAAGCCUUUAACUGCAUCCCGGUGGAUAGUGCCGUGGCAGUGGAGUGUGAUGAGCAAGUUCUGGGAGAAUUUGAAGAGUUCUCCCGAAGGAUCUAUGCACUGAAUGAAAACGUGUCCAGCUUCCGCCGGCCACGCAGGAGUUCUGAUAAGUGAAGUGAGCAGACAGCCAGUAGGACCAGGAGAGAGGCGCUGCCUAAAAGGAGGAUAAAGCUGCACUGGUUACCCCUUGUAAUAAUUACGACACAAAAUGAAUAUUAAUGGAGGAUAUUCCUCAAAAAACAGACUUUGUAAAUCAAGGAGGGACUCAGGAUCAUUGUGUAUCAGUGGGCCAGACAAAGUUAGAUUUUGCUUGCAAGAUUUGCUUUUCAGGCCUGAUGAUUGUUUUAAGGCAAAAGUCACUCUCUAGCUCGAGUUACCUUAUAGGUAUUUGUCUGCUUUUUAAUUUACGCUUCUGUGCUAUCCUCAGAGGGGAGAUGAUAAUAUAUAAAUAAUAUAAUAAGCUCACUUUUAGUUUCUCAUAAGCAUUUGCCCUCACCGUAGUUUAUAAAGCUUGGGAAAACCAAAUAAUCCAAAAAAGGUUUUCACCAUUUACUGAAAGACCUUUGACCAUCCAUGAGUUUGAUGAAUAACAAGCACAAUGGUCUCCUUACACCCAGGCCUCCCUGCCCCUGCCCCCAGUCACCCCAUCUGCUGCCCCAUCUUCACAGUGGAUGGGUUGUGCACCCUGAAAACUGAGGACAUCAGAUUCACUGGUUCUUGAAUGCAGAAGCCAACACCUUCCACCUCCUCAGCUCAGCCAUACCUUGGUAUAAUCCUGAAAUUAGAGGAAAAACCUCCCCUCUGUGGUAGAUCCCAGGGGACGCUCUAGGACAUCUCCCCCCCCCCCAAGGUUACAACAGUCAGAUGGCAUCCAAUCCCCUUUGGGGGCCAGAGUUUCUACGUGGGCAGAUGCUGUAGUCAAAAACCAGGCGUGCUCUCUGGCAAUGCACUCACCAGACAGAAAUCCCUAUAUGUAAAUUCCAUGCUAAUUUAUUAAAUUCCAGUUGGAAAGGAAGGUGCUGGAUAUGAUGUAAAAUCUGGAGAGAGUCAGGCUGUCCGAUGUGCAGACCGCAGGGCAGUCGGGAUAAUUGGAUGAAGAGGCUUAGAUGAGGCGUAGAUUCUAUUGGUAUGUGUGCAGGUGCAUUCAUAGUCAAUUAUGUUCUUGAAGUCCGAUUUCAUUCCUGGAGCUCAGAUCUCAUUUGCUAUUGCUCUAUACUUUAUAUACCCAAGGACAUUGCCUCAGGGUUGCAAGCUCUUUAAGGAAAAUUUAUGCGUGUAUCCAUGUAUCGUAUGGAAGAAUAAAAACCGAAUUUGCUUCA